AUUGAACGCUGGCGGCAGGCCUAACACAUGCAAGUCGAACGAGUGGCGGACGGGUGAGUAAUGUCUGGGAAACUUCCUGAUGGAGGGGGAUAACUACUGUAAACGGUAGCUAAUACCGCAUACCAUCUUAUGUGCCCAGAUGGGAUUAGCUCGUAGGUGGGGUAAAGGCUCACCUGGGCGACGAUCCCUAGCUGGUCUGAGAGGAUGACCGGCCACACUGGAACUGAGACACGGUCCAGACUCCUACGGGAGGCAGCAGUGGGGAAUAUUGCACAAUGGGCGCAAGCCUGAUGCAGCCAGGCCGCGUGUAUGAAGAAGGCCUUCGGGUUGUAAAGUACUUUCAGCGGGGAGGCGGUACCCGAAGAAGAAGCACCGGCUAACUCCGUGCCAGCAGCCGCGGUAAUUC
rnacentral:rRNA from 1 species